rnacentral:misc_RNA from 1 species
AGUUAAACAGUACGUGAAAUUGUUGAAAGGGAAACGAUUGAAGUCAGUCAUACCAACGGGAAAUCAACCUUUUGAGCUCGGUCUCGUGGGUUUUGAAGAGUUUCAAAGCCUUCGGAUUCGCGGGAUUGGGAUCUCUCGGUGUACUUUUUCGUACGGUUAGUCAACAUCGGUUUUGAAUGUCAUAAAAUGACUGGAGGAAUGUAGCUUCGAUCUCGUAUUGAAGUGUUAUAGCCUUUGGUAGAUGUGAUGUUUGAGACCGAGGAUUGCAACGGAUACCCUUCAGGGCUAUUCGUCUGAUCUCUGAUACGUUGCCUUGAUGUUGAAAGCUUGCUUAUGAUGUUAGGGUAUUACGGUCAAAAGGUUAGAACGAAUUACAUUCGUUAAGGAUGUUGACGUAAUGACUUUAAA